rnacentral:rRNA from 1 species
UACGUAGGGAGCAAGCGUUGUCCGGAAUCAUUGGGCGUAAAGCGCGCGUAGGUGGCCUCAUAAGUCCGCUGUGAAAGUCAAAGGCUCAACCUUUGAAAGCCGGUGGAUACUGUGGGGCUAGAGUACGGAAGAGGCGAGUGGAAUUCCUGGUGUAGCGGUGGAAUGCGCAGAUAUCAGGAGGAACACCAAUAGCGAAGGCAGCUCGCUGGGACGCUACUGACACUGAGGCGCGAAAGCGUGGGGAGCGAACAGG